ACGUAGGAUGCAAGCGUUGUCCGGAUUCAUUGGGCGUAAAGAGUUCGUAGGCGGUUUGUUAAGUCUGAUGUUAAAGAUCGGGGCCUAACCCUGGGAGUGCAUUGGAUACUGGCAGACUGGAGUGCAGUAGAGGCGAGUGGAAUUCCCAGUGUAGCGGUGAAAUGCGUAGAUAUUGGGAAGAACACCGGUGGCGCAGGCGACUCGCUGGGCUGUAACUGACGCUGAGGAACGAAAGCUAGGGGAGCAAAUGGGAUUAGAUACCCCAGUAGUCCUAGCUGUAAACGAUGGAUACUAGGCGUUGCAGGUAUCGACCCCUGCAGUGCCGCAGUUAACGCGAUAAGUAUCCCGCCUGAGUAGUACGGCCGCAAGGUUG
rnacentral:rRNA from 1 species